GGCCUCGUAGCUCAACUGGUAGAGCAUGCGCGUACAAAGCGUAGGCGGCGUCCAUGCGUGGGUUCGAAUCCCACCGAGGCUA
rnacentral:tRNA from 1 species